AUUUCAAGGUUUUUUUAAAGAGUUUUUAAAAAAUUUAUAAGGAUUUUUAAAAGCAUUUUUUAUGUGAGAAAAAAUUGUUACGGGAAAAAAGUUUGGCGGAAAUUUUUUUUU
rnacentral:sRNA from 1 species